GGUCGGGUCGGGCCGGGCCGGGUCGGGUCGGGCGGGGCACAGCAUGGAGAGCCCCGCGGUCACCUUCACUCUGGCUUACCUGGUGUUCGCCGUCUGCUUCGUCUUCCCGCCCGACGAGGUGCGGUCGGCGGGGCUGACGGUGCAGAGCCUGCUGGCCGCCUGGUUGGGCAGCGAGGACGCGGCCUUCGUGCAGUACCACCUGCGGCGGAGCACCGGCACGCUCCUGGCACACUCCCUCCUGCCCCUGGGUUAUUACCUUGGUAUGUGCUUUGCUGCACCUGAAAAACAUCUUUAUUUUUUCUACCUGGCCUCAAAAGGAUGGAAAACUUUCUUCUUCUUCGCUGUUCUCUUUCCAGCAGUCACCAGUGCCCUGGCAUAUUACUGGUCACGGAAAGGUUGGAAUAAUCAUCCACUGGCCCGAACACUUGCUGUUCAUGCUCUCCCACAGUCAGGAUGGAGGGCAGUAGCUUCUUCCAUCAAUACAGAAUUUAGAAGAAUCGACAAAUUUGCUACUGGAGCCCCAGGAGCGAGGGUGAUUGUUACAGACACUUGGGUGAUUAAAGUGACCACCUACUGUUUACACGUUGCCCAGCAGCAGGACAUUCAUUUGACAGUGACAGACUCCAGGCAGCAUGAACUCACCCCAGACUCAAAUAUGCCCGUGCAGUUCCUCACCAUCCGUGUUGCCAGUAUUAAUCCCUAUGUGAAAGCAUUUGAUAUCCGGUUGAACUCCACAGAGUAUGGGGAGCUCCGAGAAAAGCUCCGUGCUCCCAUCAGCAAUGCAGCUAAUGUUGUGAUCCAUCAAAGCCUUAGUGAUUUAUUUCUUGAAACCUUUACAUCUCUGGUGGAAAUUAACCAGACAUAUUCUGUUCCAAGCACUCAGGAGCUGGAGCCUUGCAUAGGGUGCAUGCAGACUAUUGCUAACAUCAAGCUGAUCAAGAACUGCCAGGAGCCAAAUGAAGGGGAAUGCCAGCAGUGCUACUGUCGCCCCAUGUGGUGCCUGACCUGCAUGGGGAAGUGGUUUGCCAGCCGACAGGAUCAGCAGCACCCAGAGACCUGGCUGUCCAGCCAAGUGCCUUGUCCCACCUGCAGAGCCAAGUUUUGCAUUUUAGAUGUUUGCAUAAUAAGUUCUGUGCAACAUGCACACUGCUGGCAUCAAGAACAAGAAUGUAGAAGAUGGAAUGAUUCAGAUUCUUUGAUGUUUGAGGAGUAUCAAUGUAGUCAUUUCAACCAGUGGUUGGAGAGCUCAGCAACAGCAGAACAUUCUAGGCCUCUUUCUGACUGUCCUGACUGGGAAGGUAGAAUUGAAGAAGACAAAACAAUGAGGACAUCAAGUAAAAAGAUUACAAAUGAUCCUUCUAAUGCAGCUGAAAGGGAAACAGAUGAGGUGGUUCUGAGGAGAAGACAAAAACAGAUCAAUUUUGGAAAAAAUACCCUUGCAUAUGACAGAUACAUUAAAGAAGUUCCAAAGAAUCAGCGAAUACCAGGAGUUCAUCCUAGAACUCCCAACAAAUUUAAGAAGUACAGCCGUAGAUCCUGGGACCAGCAGAUCAGGCUGUGGAAGAUUGCACUGCAUGCCUGGGAUCCUCCCACUGAAGAAACCUGGGAUCUGCAGCCAGUUAACACAGAACCCUCAGGUAGUUCCCAGGAAUGGUUCUGCAAAGAUCAGGAUGUUUCUUGCUCCUUUGUAUUUGAUGAAAAGCAGAAGAGAAAUGAGAGUGAAGAUGAAUGCAGACAAACUGACUAUGCACCAGAAAGUCCCUGUUCUCCUGAUUCUUCUCCAGUAUGGAAGCGCAGAAAAAGAAACAAUUCUGACUCUUCUGUGGUUUCACAGAGCAAAAACCAUUAUGUGCACAUGUACCACACACUGGAAAGUCUGACUGAACCAGGACAUCAGGAGGUGCUUUCAAGGUGCUCAGAGUGGGAAGCCUUUGGUGAAAAUGAUGAAGUAAUGACAGUACAACAAGGUGUAGAAACAAGUGACCCCAUUUCAGGCAGCUGUUCUUCAGGAUGGAACAGUCAGAAACAGAAAAAAAGCAACUUCUUUCUGCCUGACAGCAAAACUUGCAGUGAUACAGACUGCAGGAUGGAAAGGCUUAAACUUUGUAGCAGUUUAUUGGAAGGACAUCAGUCAGAAUACCCUGGAAGAGGAUGGGGAAGUGCAAGUGCUGAAGAUAGAAUAAUGAGGAAAAACAUUUAAAUACCAAGUCUCUCUUUGAAUAUAGAAGUGUUGAAGAAGAAGGAUGUUCUCCUGUGGCUGAAAAAAAUUUGAAGAAUAGGGAUGUAGUCUGAGAUCACAUCUUGGAAAACUGGUGCAGUCCCAUCAGAUCUGCAGUGCAAGAAAGAUUUACAGUCAGCAUAUGUGCAGUCAACAUAAGGUGAACUAUGGAGGUGUCUCCAGAUCUUUUAAGGGUAGAUUGUCUUCUGCAAGCUCUGCCUCAAGUGUAAAACUCCAGAUUUUGUUAAGCCUGUGCCACAACAAUGAUGGAUGUUCCUUAAAGCUUUUGUGAGAAUGUUUCUGCUUUAUCUGCAUUGACAAAUGACAUUUGCAUCAUACUGUAAAGCUCCUUCAGUGGAUGGAUCCUGCUGUUGCAGUUUGGAGAUCAUGCUACUUAAGAGUGUGCUGAUGUUAUGCUGGCAAAUUGGUCCAGUACUGAGUGAGAAUGAAGAAUGUCCCUGCUUAAACCAAGGACGUGAGCCCUUGUUUCUUCCACUGGACAAGAGUUGUACAUACAACCUGAAAAACUGCUUCAAAAGAAUGUAGAUAAUUUCAACCUUUCUCCAGCUGUUAAAGACAAACUGUUCUUAGCUUGUGGAUUAGGCAGUCAUCUGUUUGGCUGUUUACAGUUCUCUGAGAUACUUAUAUUAAACUAGGAGUUACCUAAGCCUACUAAGAGAUGAGAAAAGAAAGGUAGAUGGUUAUUGAGAGGAUGAGUGGCUGAACAGCAAGGCAGCCUAAUUAUUUGGAUUUUGCUUUUAUGGGUGUUACAACCUGACCUGAAGAGCCAAUCUAUAGCUAAGGGCAAGUGAGGAUGAGUUCAGUGCCUGCUGUUCUACAGCAGCUGGAGGUGAGCAGCAGUAUUUGCAGGUUUGGAGUUGCUCUUGGGCAUGGGGUGUCCAGGCUAAGGGUUGUGGGGUGUGUAGAUAAGUUCUCCUUUAUUUUACCCUUCUAGCACAGUGCUGAGAGGGUCAAAGCAGGGGCUGUGACUGCAGUAGAGUUUAGACCUGAUUAACAUGCCAGUUAUGAGAAUUUUUUACUGUCCUUGUGGCAUUUUAUGUGGCAUGUACAGGGUUAUAAAUAUCUGUUCAAGCUGGGAAUUGUCUCUUUGCAGGAGUUCUGUUUGGCUUUUUGCAAGGCCACUGCAGAACUGCAAGUACUGGGGAUGUCACAGCAGCUUUGCUGUGUGGCUGGCAGUGUACCCAAGGACCAAAACCCCACUGUGCUACUGAUGUGGAAGUAAACUGCUUCCCUAGAAACUGCUCCCAGUCCCUUCCAAAAUGUUUUCUGCAGGCAUGGGAUUCAUCAGUGUCUCUGCACAAGGGUGGUUCAGUCACACAAAACAGAGCAUGGAAUGUGUAUAUACAAGGAACACAUCUGUACAGCACUUUUUAAAGAGGUAAUAUUUAGCACAUUGUUGUUCCAUUGUGCAUGCUUCCAUGUAAUUUAUGAUAACUGUAAAUGAGGCAAUGUAUGACAUUUUGGCAUUUUGUCUUUAUGAUGAAUUAAAGACUUCAAAA